rnacentral:rRNA from 1 species
UACGUAGGGUGCAAGCGUUAAUCGGAAUUACUGGGCGUAAAGCGUGCGCAGGUGGUUACGCAAGUCUGAUGUGAAAUCCCCGGGCUCAACCUGGGAACUGCAUUGGAGACUGCGUGGCUAGAGUGUGGCAGAGGGGGGUGGAAUUCCGCGUGUAGCAGUGAAAUGCGUAGAGAUGCGGAGGAACACCAAUGGCGAAGGCAGCCCCCUGGGUUAACACUGACACUCAUGCACGAAAGCGUGGGGAGCAAACAGG